GACGAACGCUGGCGGCGUGCUUAACACAUGCAAGUCGAACGAAGAGCGAUGGAAGCUUGCUUCUAUCAAUCUUAGUGGCGAACGGGUGAGUAACGCGUAAUCAACCUGCCCUUCAGAGGGGGACAACAGUUGGAAACGACUGCUAAUACCGCAUACGAUCUAAUCUCGGCAUCGAGGAUAGAUGAAAGGUGGCCUCUACAUGUAAGCUAUCACUGAAGGAGGGGAUUGCGUCUGAUUAGCUAGUUGGAGGGGUAACGGCCCACCAAGGCGAUGAUCAGUAGCCGGUCUGAGAGGAUGAACGGCCACAUUGGGACUGAGACACGGCCCAGACUCCUACGGGAGGCAGCAGUGGGGAAUCUUCCGCAAUGGACGAAAGUCUGACGGAGCAACGCCGCGUGAGUGAUGACGGCCUUCGGGUUGUAAAGCUCUGUUAAUCGGGACGAAAGGCCUUCUUGCGAAUAGUUAGAAGGAUUGACGGUACC
rnacentral:rRNA from 1 species